rnacentral:misc_RNA from 1 species
AACUUUUGACAAUGGAUCUCUUGGCUCUCGCAUCGAUGAAGAACGCAGCGAAAUGCGAUAAGUAAUGUGAAUUGCAGAUUUCAGUGAAUCAUCGAAUUUUUGAACGCACCUUGCGCUCCCUGGUAUUCCGGGGAGCACGCCUGUUCGAGUGUCGUGAAAUUCUCAAACUGAGAUUCUUUUUUGUUUCUCGGCUUGGUGUUGGGCUUUGCAGUCCCCUUUGAUUGGGAUGGCUGGCCUCAAAAGAAUUAGCUGGUUUUUCAUGUGGCAUUGGUUCUACUCAGCGUGAUAAUGAUCUGACCGCCGAAGACAACUUUCGGGAUGGCCAAUUCUCAUUUGGGCUGCUUCUAAUCUUGGUCGAGCAGAUUCUGAAUCUGUUCCACUUUUCAACUUUUGACCUCGAAUCAGGUGGGACUACCCGCUGAACUUAAGCAUAUCAAUAAGCGGAGGCU